rnacentral:rRNA from 1 species
ACGGGGUGUGACAGCAGGGCGCGAAACCUUCGCAAUGCGCGAAAGCGUGACGAGGUUAAUCCGAGUGAUUUCCGCUGAGGAGAUCUUUUGUCAGCUAUAAAUAGGCAGGCGAAUAAGGGGAGGGCAAGCCUGGUGUCAGCCGCCGCGGUAAUACCAGCUCCUCGAGUGGUCGGGGCGAUUAUUGGGCCUAAAGCAUCCGUAGCCGGUUCCGUAGGUCCUCUGUUAAAUCCAACCGCUCAACGGUUGACCUGCCGAGGAUACCGCGAGACUAGGAGGCGGGAGAGGCGGACGGUACUCCGCGUGUAGGGGUAAAAUCCUUUGAUCCGCGGAAGACCACCAGUGGCGAAGGCGGUCCGCCAGAACGCGCUCGACGGUGAGGGACGAAAGCUGGGGGAGCGAACCGGAUUAGAUACCCGGGUAGUCCCAGCCGUAAACGAUGCUAGCUAGAUGAUUCAUUCGCAAGUCGCGAAUGAAGUGUCGCAGGGAAGCCGUUAAGCUAGCCGCCUGGGGAGUACGGUCGCAAGACUGAAACUUAAAGGAAUUGGCGGG